rnacentral:lncRNA from 1 species
CUUUUUUUUUUUUUUCAAGAUGGAAUUUUUGCUCUUGUUGCCCAGGCUGGAGUGCAAUGCACAAUCUUGGCUCGCUGCAACCUCUACUUCCUGGGUUCAAGCAAUUCUCUUGCCUCAGCCUCCCUAGUAACUGGGAUUACAGGCAACCACCACCACACCCAGCUAAUUUUUUGUAUUUUUAGUAGAGAUGGGGUUUCACCAUGUUGGCCAGACUGGUCUCAAACUACUGACUUCAGGUGAUCCACCCGCCACGGCCUCCCAAAGUGCUGGGAUUACAGGCAUGAGUCACUGUGCCCAGCCCAAAUUCUUUUUCUUAUUCCUGUGUCUAAAACACAGCUAGACACACUUUCCAACUUCCUCUACAGUUAGGCAUGGCCAUGCACCUGAGUCCCAGCCAAUAAAAGUGGAUGGAAAUGGCACACACCACUUCCCGGCCCAGCCUGUGAGAUCCUACGUGCACUUUCCCUCUUCAGGCUGGUUGGAGUAGGUGUGAUCACUGGCAUUUGGAAGCCACAUGUUGAACAGAUUAGCCUCGGAUGACCUGAGCCCUUGAAUACCCACUUGGAGAAAAGCUGCCCUUCUGGCCUAUGCAUAUUCAGGAUUCGUACAAGAGCAAGAGAUAAACUUCUGUGUGGAUUCAUCACAGAUUGAGUGUUUUAUAAUAGCAGCCAGGUUACUCUAAUUCAUACAAACUAUAAGAUAAGGCAGCUCAAAUUGUUGAAAUGAUUAUUUAUUAAAAUGGAAAGAUAUUCACUGAAUAGUAGAGAGGAACAGAUUGAAAAACUUACUAUAGUGUGAUCCUAUUUUUUAAAAGAAUAUAUAUGCAUAUGUAUACAUACACACAGAGAAAGUUCUAGUAUAGAACAAAGUAUAGGUGUUUAUCUAUCUCUGGAUAGUGGUAGUAUAGGUAGGGCUUAUCUACAUUUUUUGAUAUGUCAAGCAUGAAUGUAUUCUGAUAUUAUAAUGAAAAAAUAAAAGCUAUGUUUAACAUUAAAAAUGAAAGAAUAUCUUAAAACAUAUAUAUAUAAAAGCAUAGCAUCUCAAAGUGAGUAGAUUUCCUGAGGGAAAUUAGAAAAGGUUUCUCAAACUGAACAUCUAUUAAUGACUCUUCUAACACUGAAAAUCUAUAAAUUAGCUACAGCCUGAGAAAUAGAUCGGUUCAAUUUACAACACACCUGGCUCCCAGCCUUUACAUAUCGAGUCCUCAUCAAUGGAAAUCAAUUCACCAGAAAAAAAAAUGGAAAAAAUACAUUUUUCACCUUUAAAAAGAAAGUGCCAGGAAACUAGUCUUAGUAGUUGUUUGGGGUGGAGUUGUUUAUAGAAAUAAAGAGAAAGGGAGGUUUUGGGUGUUGGAGGGAGGAAAAGUAGCACACUUAAACUCUUUUUAUCUUCUGAAUAUUGCUAUAUGCAUUUAAUGCCUAUUCAAAACAUUCUUAGUUCUAAAACCUUUUGUAAAUAGUAAGUCAGAGAUUCUCAUUGAAUUGGUUAAGAGCAGAGACAAAUGCUAAGCAAACAAUUCAUAAUUUCCAGGUGGAAUUUUACUGACCCAUGAAUCUAAUUGGUCAUUGCAGCAAAGUUUCCCCCUUUUAUUUGGGAAGAGCCUAAAUCUAUUCUUCCCAUAUACUGAAGGACAAGGGACAAUUAGUGAAGACACCUCCACUCCCCUCCACACAAUCUUCAAAAGUGUCUGGAGAAGGAUUUUGUUGUACAAUAAGAACCAGAAACUGCAAAACAUGGUGUGUCGAAGUCUCAACCCCUGUUCCGCUGUCAUGAAGGCUUGGAGGAAUGGAGUUGACCUGAGAGAGGUGGGGCAGGCCUCCAACUCUCUGGAUUGAGGAAGAGUGUUGUGGGUUGAGGUUCCUGUGAAACAGACUCUGAGACGGUGAUUUGGCUAUAGGUGGCUUAAUAGGGAGGACUCUUGAGUAUAACAUAAGUAAGGGAGUAAAGGAAGCAGAAUGAGGCAAAAGGAGGAGUUGAGCCAUGAAGCAGUGAUGACAAAGGAGUCAGGGGAUGCCACAGGGCACUCUGGGGCUGGGAUGGCCCUUCAGUUGGAGCAAGGGCACCAAGCCUUUACAUGCCCUCAUGGUCUUGGAAAAGAAGCUCUCUUCAGCCAGUUUUCUAAGAGGGACUCAGUUGUGAGACAUCAGGAGGCAAUACUCACAGCACCCUGAGAUCCCCGACAGCAGGUGUCUUUCCUCAUCCAUGGACCUUCAGCCCCCAUCACAGUGCCAGACACAUAACAGAUGCCCAAUAAAUGCUGAAUGAAGAAUCGCCCCAGCAUUGCACUUGGUACAUAGAAGGAAUGAUAGGAACACAGCGCAAGAAGCUUGACUGCAGCUCUGCAUUGCAACUCAGGCCAUGAUACUUGAACCCCACAGGGAGCUCUGGGGGCUCUGAGUCCAGCACAAUGGUGCCACGUCUCCAACACUCUGGGUCAUCCUGCCCAAAACUAAAUCCAGCUGGGGAUGAAGGUAGGUGCUUCCUAGCAGGCCCAGAAAGGAAUCCAAUUGGAAUCACCUGUGGAACACAGAGACCCUAACAAAACCCCAGGCAGGCUUUCCUUUUCUUCACCUGCUGCUCCCCUUUGGAGGAUCGAGGGGUGGAGGCACAGUUCCUUCCCUGGUCCCCAGCCUGCUGAGAGCGAGCGGGCAGGAGCUUACGGCAGCCCCUACUGCACCACUGAUGGCUCAUCCCAGCUAUGGCUGAGGAGGGCCUGCAGCCAGGUGCAGCCCAUGGGUUGUGAGGGGCCACAAAUGUUUCCUUGCUGCAGGUGGGCUCUCUCCCCAUGGGCGAAGCCUAAGGGGCCAUAAGCCUUUGUGUGGAUGGUAGUUGGUUUUGUGGCAAUGCCAUUUCACUGUCUGACUUGUUUCCCAGGAAAGGAGGGCCUUAUUAUCAAAUCAAGACUGCUGAGCUCCUCAAGCAUUGGCAGGUCUCCUGUGGCCAGGAAGAGAGAGCCACCAGCAUCAGGGUACCCUGAGGUGCAGAGGGAUGAAAUUAAGCAAAGGAAAAAUCAGGCUGAUGCCAACUAAUACUCACGGCCAGAACUCUGCUUUCGUUAAGACCCACUUUCUGAGAAGAAAGAGGCCACCACUUCUUCUUUACCCACCCUGGACCACCCUUCUCACUCAGCCCUCCCUGGCAGCAUAAAGUCAACACAAAACCAGUUGCUUUUCAUAAGUGAAGCCAUUCCUUUCUUGAAGUGCCAUUUCCUGAACAAAGAAUGUAACAAUAAUCAGCUUCUCACAAUCAAGUGAGUCUUGAAUAUGCCUGGCCUUAUGACAGAUUGCUGUUUUGUUAAGGAAACCAUUGUUGAAUGUGUUUGACUUUGACAAUGUAUAGUUUUAAAUUCAAAUCCAGAAGAUUUA